rnacentral:rRNA from 1 species
UGGGGAAUCUUGCGCAAUGGCCGAAAGGCUGACGCAGCGACGCCGCGUGGAGGAUGACGCCCUUCGGGGUGUAAACUCCUGUCACCUGGGAAGAACAUCGGAUUUCGAUCCGACUGACGGUACCAGGGGAGGAAGCACCGGCUAACUCUGUGCCAGCAGCCGCGGUAAUACAGAGGGUGCGAGCGUUGUCCGGAAUCACUGGGCGUAAAGGGCGCGUAGGCGGCUUCUCACGCGUGCGGUGAAAGCCCGGGGCUCAACUCCGGGUCGGCCGUGCGAACGGGGAGGCUUGAGUCAGGUAGAGGCUGAUGGAAUUCCGGGUGUAGCGGUGGAAUGCGUAGAGAUCCGGAAGAACACCGGUGGCGAAGGCGGUCAGCUGGGCCUGAACUGACGCUGAGGCGCGACAGCGUGGGGAGCAAACAGG